GGGCACUUGGCGCAGUGGUAGCGCGCCCGCUUUGCAUUGUGACAUCUCAGGUGUAACACCCUUUGCGGAAGGCCGUGGGUUCAAUCCCCACAGUGUCCA
rfam:Phlebiopsis gigantea 11061_1 CR5-6 unplaced genomic scaffold PHLGIscaffold_25, whole genome shotgun sequence.